UACAGAGGGUGCGAGCGUUUAAUCGGAAUUACUGGGCGUAAAGCGUGCGUAGACGGUUAUGUAAGUUAGGUGUGAAAGCCCCGGGCUCAACCCAGGAACUGCGUCCAAGACUGGGAGGCUUGAAUCCGGGAGAGGGAUGCGGAAUUCCAGGUGUAGCGGUGAAAUGCGUAGAUAUCUGGAGGAACACCGGUGGCGAAGGCGGCAUCCUGGACCGGUAUUGACACUGAGGCGCGAAAGCCAGGGGAGCAAACGGGA
rnacentral:rRNA from 1 species